rnacentral:rRNA from 1 species
GAUGAACGCUGGCGGCGUGCCUAACACAUGCAAGUCGAACGAACAGACCCUGCUUUUGUUGGGUUCUCGUUUGCCGAGCGCGUGUGUAUAACGUGUGUAUACUGCACUUGUAUUUCGGAUAUAAUCAGGAAAAUGGGGCUCAUAUCGGAGAGGAUCUACUGCACCACGGUGGUCGUUGGAUAGUGUCGGCGGUUGGGGAUGGAAUAGCGGGUUCUCCGCUUGUUGGUGGGGUAGUGGCUGACCAAGGCUUUGACGGGUAGCCGGCCUGAGAGGGUUGCCGGCCACAUUGGGACUGAGAUACGGCCCAGACUGCUACGGGAGGCAGCAGUGGGGAAUAUUGCACAAUGGGCGGAAGCCUGAUGCAGCAACGCCGCGUGCGGGAUGACGGCCUUCGGGUUGUAAACCGCUUUCGCCUGUGACGAAGCGUGAGUGACGGUAAUGGGUAAAGAAGCACCGGCUAACUACGUG